AACGAACGCUGGCGGCAUGCCUAACACAUGCAAGUCGAACGAGACCUUCGGGUGUAGUGGCGCACGGGUGCGUAACGCGUGGGAACCUGCCCUUAGGUUCGGAAUAACUCCCCGAAAGGGGUGCUAAUACCGGAUAAUGACUUCGGACCAAAGAUUUAUCGCCUUUGGAUGGGCCCGCGUUGGAUUAGCUAGUUGGUAGGGUAAAAGCCUACCAAGGCGACGAUCCAUAGCUGGUCUGAGAGGAUGAUCAGCCACACUGGGACUGAGACACGGCCCAGACUCCUACGGGAGGCAGCAGUGGGGAAUAUUGGACAAUGGGCGAAAGCCUGAUCCAGCAAGGCCGCGUGAGUGAUGAAGGCCUUAGGGUUGUAAAGCUCUUUUACCCGGGAUGAUAAUGACAGUACCGGGAGAAUAAGCUCCGGCUAACUCCGUG
rnacentral:rRNA from 1 species